rnacentral:tRNA from 1 species
UGUCAGUUAGCUCAGUCAGUUAGAGCGUGGUGCUGAUAACAUCAAGGUCGUGGGUUUGAUCCCUGCUCGGUCAC